GGGAAUGUAGCUUAGUGGUAAAGUGCUUGCCUAGCAUGCAUGAAGCCCUGGGUUCAAUUCCACAUACACA
rfam:Dipodomys ordii contig_1016, whole genome shotgun sequence.